rnacentral:lncRNA from 1 species
CUGGAGAAACUGAUUCCUAUAGAUUGACUAUGAUGUGGAAGAACCUAGAUUAAAAUCCAGGCCUCCCGACGCCCUAGUCAGCGAUCCUUGUUCUAUAUACACUGUGUAGGGAAGCAAGAAUUGUCUUUCCAUGACUCUCAAAAGAAUGAGGAAAGAUCUUUGAAGCUCUCGGCAAACAUCUCUGAUCACAUCUGACUGACUGGAACUGGGUCACGUGCCCGUUUCUGAGGAUGUUGCUACCACCAAAUGCUCUUACAAUAUUUAGUUGAACUGGACGUGCUGGUGGAAACCACUGGGGAAAGACUUCAGCUCUGUGUUGAAACACUCAACCUGGGAAUUUGUCCUCCAGGGCCACAUAGAAGCUGGAUAAGUAUCUGAGUAUCUGAGUUUGCUUUCUUAAGCCCUUCACUUAGAAUCCUGUAAAAUGGCUAAGAACAGUGGCUCUCAAACUUUUUAAGCAGCAGAAUGUUUUUCUCUCAAAUGAAAUCUCAUCUGGAACUUGAUACAUAUCAAACAGGUAAAUGGUAAUUACUUUUUAUGCAUUUAAAAAGUAAUUUCUAAUGACUAGAAAUUUUUACAAAGUCAAUCAGUGACAAUGAGGUUGUUUUAACAGAAAACAUUAAGUCAGGGAUCGUGGAUGACAGUUGCAUUUUUUUGGCAUACACUUCAGCAUCUGACUUCUAUCUGUAUUUUAUUUUGGUUGCAUUACAUGAAUAAUGGACAAUCAUAUUUCAACACUGCUCUGAGUGCUUCAAACAUGUCAACUCAUUUAAUUCAUAACUCUCUGAGACACUAUUAUUCCCAGGUGAGUAAAGGGAGGCCCAAAUAGCUAGAUACGUGGCCCAAAGUCACAGAGCAAGCUAGAGCUGGGCUUCAAACCUAGGCAGCCUAGUCCCAUAGUCUAUGAACUGAAUAAUGAUUUUCUUUUGCUGCUUCAAUUAAAAGCCUACUAUAUAUAUGUAGUUGUAAUUAAUAACUUUUUAAUUGCCUGCCUUGCAAGCUCAGACUAUUCUUUAAUUAAACUUGGAAAGCAGAAGAGGUUUCAUUCCAAGCUCCAAGCAAAAAAAUAAAUUAAAAAAAAAACCUAACAUCAAAAGCACCCGCAUUAGGGUUUCAGGGAACAAUUUGAAAAUUCCUGACCUACAGCAUGAGGGACAUCUUGAAGGGCCAAUCCGCCUGUCAAAACCCACGUGUGAAGGAUCCUCAGGGGGUAGUAGAGACA